rnacentral:rRNA from 1 species
GACGGGGGAUGCAAGUGUUAUCCGGAAUCACUGGGCGUAAAGCGUCUGUAGGUGGUCAAAUAAGUCAACUGUUAAAUCUUGAGGCUCAACCUCAAAAUCGCAGUCGAAACUAUUAGACUAGAGUAUAGUAGGGGUAAAGGGAAUUCCAGUGGAGCGGGUGAAAUGCGUAGAUAUUGGAAAGAACACCGAUGGCGAAGGCACUUUACUGGGCUAUUACUAACACUCAGAGACGAAAGCUAGGGUAGCAAAUGGGG